rnacentral:lncRNA from 1 species
UAACUCUAUUGCCAAAGCACUAUGCCAGCAAAGGCUUGAUUGUCAAAAGGGUGGAUUGUAAUUCCUGAGUUAAAUAAAGAGGCAACGAUAGACACACAGCAUAUAUAUCCUGGGCAGACUACACUCCUUGACAUCUAAUCCCAGUUAGCUUUCUGAGGUAUGGACUGUAAGAAUUCGGGCUGCUGGGGAAAAAGCAGCAGAAAGCAUGGCUCUUCUGGGAAAGAGGUCUAGGCAGGGGACACAAAUGUCCAGUACUUGGAAUAAACCCAUGGUACACUUUCCUGAGGCCUGAAGAGAGAGACAUUUCAUUUUCUCCAGGAAAAGAGAAGCGAGAGAAAGAAAGUAAAAAGAAAGGAAGAAAGAGAGAGACAAAGAGUAUUUGAGAAGCGGAUACCAGUUAGG